AGAGUUUGAUCCUGGCUCAGAAUGAACGUUGGCGGCGUGGAUUAGGCAUGCAAGUCGAGCGAGAACCCGCAAGGGGGACAGCGGCGAACGGGGUAGUAAUGCGUAGGUGACGUGCCCAUAGGGCCGGAAUAGCCACGGGAAACUGUGGGUAAUGCCGGAUAAUCUCCCCGAUUUUAAACUUUUGGGGAGCAAUGGGUGUGAUUCCACCAAUGGAGCGGCUUACGUGGUAUUAGCUAGUUGGUGAGGUAACGGCUCACCAAGGCGACGAUGCCUAGGGGGUGUGAGAGCAUGGCCCCCACCACUGGGACUGAGAUACUGCCCAGACACCUACGGGUGGCUGCAGUCGAGAAUCUUCGGCAAUGGACGAAAGUCUGACCGAGCGACGCCGCGUGCGGGAUGAAGGCCUUCGGGUUGUAAA
rnacentral:rRNA from 1 species